GGUCCCAUAGCUCAGCUGGUUAGAGCAUUUGACUCAUAAUCAAAGGGUCCUUGGUUCGAGCCCAAGUGGGACCACCG
rnacentral:tRNA from 1 species